rnacentral:rRNA from 1 species
GCUCGUAUUCUGAUUUUUAAGAUAAUUGGUUUUAUGUGAUCUUAUUGAACUACAAUAAAAUUAGUUUAAUCUUAUUUUUUUUUCGGUUGUAGUUGGAAUUCAUUUUCUGACUAUUUAUUAAGUGUAUAUUUACUUUUAAAAAAUAAGAGUGUUCAAAGUAGUCAUAUGGCUUUAUCCUGAAGCAUGGAAUGAUAAGGUAUGACAUUACUUAAAUUUUAAAUGUUUAAGAAGUUGAUGUAAUUAUUUAUAUAGUUUGUCGGUGGUAUUCGUAUUUUGUCGUUAGAGGUGAAAUUCUGGGAUCGACUAAAGACUACCAAAUGCGUACGCAUUUGCCUAGAAUUUUUUUCUUGAUCAAGAACGUAAAUUGAAGGAUUGAAGACGAUCAGAUACCGUCGUAGUCUCAAAUGUAAACUAUAUUAGCUAGUGGUUGAUAAUUGCUUAAUUAGCUUUGUCAGAACCUUAAGAGAAAUCAAAGUAUUUGGAUUCCGGGGGUAGUAUGGUCGCAAGACUGAAACUUAAAGGAAUUGACGGAAGGGCACCACAAGAUGUGGAUUCUGUGGCUUAAUUUGACUCAACCACUGAAAACUUUACCAGGUCCAGACAUAGGUAAGAUUGACAGA